rnacentral:misc_RNA from 1 species
UCCUCGUUAACCGAGGCAGUCUCGUAUGAAAAAUACAACAUACGACGAGGGUUGCGCUCGUUGCGGGACUUAACCCAACAUCUCACGACACGAGCUGACGACGACCAUGCAACACCUGUCACCGGUCCAGCAAACUGACUCCCGCGUUUCUGCGGGAUACGACCGGGAUGUCAAGCCCUGGUAAGGUUCUUCGCUUAGCGUCGAAUUAAACCACACGCUCCACCGCUUGUGCGGCCCCCCGUCAAUUCCUUUGAGUUUUAGCCUUGCGGCCGUACUCCCCAGGCGGGGCACUUAACGCGUUAGCUUCGACACCCAAAGGGUCUAUGCCUCGGAUGCCUAGUGCCCAUCGUUUACGGCGUGGACUAC